rnacentral:rRNA from 1 species
GUCUUUUGCGUACCGUAUGUUUCCUCGGCGGGCUUGCCUGCCGGUUGGACAUUAUCAAACCUUUUUGUAGUUGCAAUCAGCGUCAGAAAACAAAUAAUAAUUACAACUUUCAACAACGGAUCUCUUGGUUCUGGCAUCGAUGAAGAACGCAGCGAAAUGCGAAAAGUAGUGUGAAUUGCAGAAUUCAGUGAAUCAUCGAAUCUUUGAACGCACAUUGCGCCCCUUGGUAUUCCAUGGGGCAUGCCUGUUCGAGCGUCAUUUUGUACCCUCAAGCACUGCUUGGUGUUGGGCGUUUGUCCUGCAAAGGACUCGCCUGAAAGCGAUUGGCGGCCAACGUACUGGUGGUAGAGCGCAGCACAAUUUGCGUCUCUCCCCUCUGCGUCGGCGUCCAUGAAGCCUUUUUUCAACGUUUGACCUCGGAUCAGGUAGGGAUACCCGCUGAACUUAAGCAUAC